GGCGACCUUCCCACACCUUGUGCCGGGUCCGCGGGAGAUAAAUUGGUGCCCUCUGCACCCCCUCUCCACUUCUUCGUCUGCCUCGCGACUCCUCUCUCGCCUCAGUCGCCUGCACACCGCGCUCGUCGAGGGAAACACGGGUCCGCCACUGUCGAUCACGUGAACCGUGGGCACUGGGCAAUCCGUGGAGCGUUCCAGUGUUGCGCCGUGACCCCUUGAUGCUUCGGCAACCACUAAUUUCUUCAUUGGUGUCGCGGCUCUAGCGCAUUUGCUCGUCGAACGGGGCACUCGCCGUCGCGCCGUGCAACACCGUGGACUGGCCACCUUGCUGCGAAUUCCGGGUAUGUGCUUGGUCCCCUGUGUUCGCUUAGGUUCUAAUUAGGGCUGGGAUCGUCCGAUUUUGGUUUGGGCCGAGGGGCUCGUCGGCAAUUUGCGCGCCGUCGUGGCAUUCUGUCGAGGCACUCGGCUUGCCGAGUUGGGUGGGAGAAAGAAGACGUGCCAGGACCGUAGAUCUCAUAAUAAACGACCCUGGUGUGAUGAUGGGGGAGAGGUGUUUAGAACUGUUGGAUCUGUGAAUAGCGGCUAGGAUUAGAUUUGGUGGCUUCCGUUUGGCUUAAUCAAUCACAGCCAUCGAUCAUUGAUCGUGCGGCCGGUGUGGGAGAGAAUAGAUAGUGUGCUGCAGAUCGUAAGAUUCGGAUCCGACGUGUGAGGAUGAACUCAGGUUCAUGAGUGUCUCGGUCUAAUCUGGACCGACUAUUUUAGAUCCGGCAGCUCUUGUACCCCGAUACCCCAUCGCCGCGUGCUUUUGCUAAAGAAGCCCUGGCGAAUUUCAAUAUAAACCCGCCGUCAACCCUGACUGUGCUUAGAGUCCUGUAAUAUUUUGCGCAGAGCCCCUUACGCUUCAUAAUUAUUGAGGCCUAGUCCAGAGCUUAAGAAAAUCAAAUAAAUAAAUUUAGAAAUGGAUUUUUAAUAUAAAAACAAUUCCUAGAACUUAUUUAAUUCAUGAAAAAUCCAUUUUUAGUCCAAAUUGAUCCAUUCUAAUUUCUAAAAUUUGGUAAAAUUAUUGUUUAUCACCUAGUGCCUCUGUUUUGGCAUGAAAGACACAUUACAAUUUAUCUAGUACUUAAUAUUGUAUUAAAUACAUAAAACCUUUGGAGAUUCAUAACUUAAAAUCUAUAACUCCAAAUUUAAUGAUUCCAGUUCCUAUGAUCUUAUUUUAAUGUCUAGAUUAUUAUUAUGUAUUUUAUUUACAUGUUUGGUGUGAUGUUAAUUUUUGCUAUACUAUGUAUUGUGUUGAUGCGUGUAGACGAGCAAGCUACAAAGGAUCCAGGGCCUCAGCUGGUAGAGUCUGCUGAGCAGGAGCUCGUUGAAGGCAAGUUGUGCCCUUGAUCACUUCCUUUUUACCCAGUCAUGUUCUUGUUAAUCAUAAUGAUCUGCAUAGGUUAAUUUUGAUGGGAUCCAAUAGGUUACCCUAGAUUUUAACUAUCUUUAUACCUUGUUUCACCACUAGUUUUACUACUAAUUUUUUUGGGUAGUACAUGCUAUUGCUUUAUGUGGAUUUGUGUAUAGAGAUAUUCAUUACUCAUGAUUACACUUUUUAUUAUUUGUUUAUUAUUUACUGUUCAUGAUAAGAUCAUUAUGUUAAUGGGAACAUGGAGAACCACUCAGGAAAACAGUACUACCACAAGGGUUUAAUGGGACGCCCUUGGCUGAUUAACUAGGAAAGCUAGUGGAUGACUACCUUACCCAAAAGGGGCAAGGGCAGUAGGGGAGUGGUCAGUGUAGGGAGGUCUUUGGGUUGAUUUUGCUGCGAUGGCGGCCAGGCGAGGGAUUCCUGCACUGGAGCUUCCUAUAAACUGUAGCGGGUUUUCUGAAGCUAGUGGAACUUUGUAAAGGCAUCGUAGUGGUACCCUGCCUCGCUUCCUUGGUAGAGGUGUAUGGGGUCUCAUCAACUCUGUGGCAAAUGAGUAACACGACUUGUGGGUAAAGAUGCACAACCUCUGCAGAGUGUAAAACUGGUAUACUAGCCGUGCGUGAGCGGCUCGGACACUCACAUGAUUAAUCUAUGGAAUUAAAACUUAAUUUGUCAUUUCAUUGCAUUGGGAUUAUUUUAUUAUUACUUUUAUUUAUUAUUACUAAGGUUUGGUAUUUACUUACACUUAGUAACUGCUAAUAAAAUUUGGACCAACUUAAAAGCAAUGCUCAGCUUCAGUCUUUAUUACAUUGAUUUACCUUACAAUUCACAUGAACUCCCACUUUUGGUGAGUUCAUGCACAUUAUUCCUCAAAACUUGUUGAUCGAUGAACAUGUGUGAGCUCACUCUUGCUGUCUCAUACCCUCCCACAGGAGAAGAACAGGUGGUCGAAGAGGAGCCGCCUAACACUGAGGCUUUCGACUUGAUCUAGGUGACGUCUCGCAGUCAGCUUUGUGGCGUGAGGAAAUAAUAUUUAGUUCGUUUUAUUUUAUCAUUUAUUUUUGUAAGACUUCCGCUAUGUAAUAAGUAUAUUUAUGAUAUUUAUAACAUUUAUCUUUAUGCACUCUGUUAUUAUAUGUGUUGUUUUCUCUGGCUCAUAUAUG
rnacentral:lncRNA from 1 species